rnacentral:tRNA from 4 species
AGUAGUCGCUACCAAGAAUCAAUCCCAAAAGGUCGGAGCGAGGCAAAAUUGGCUUUCAAACUAGGUUCUGGGUUCACACAAGACCUGAAUCAGGAACAAGGGCUAUUAGCUCAGGUGGUUAGAGCGCACCCCUGAUAAGGGUGAGGUCCCUGGUUCGAGUCCAGGAUGGCCCACCUGCACAGGUGGCAAAAACAAGAGAAGCGAGGAAUCAGCACCUUAUCUUACUGACAUAGUAAGAGAGAAUGCUGGCUCUGAGUAAAGAGUCCAGAGGAACCUUGAAAACUGCAUAGAGCUAGGUGAAAAAGCCAAAAAAGAAGACCGC